rnacentral:rRNA from 1 species
AUUGAACGCUGGCGGCAUGCUUUACAUAUGCAAGUCGAACGGUAACAGGCCUUCGGGUGCUGACGAGUGGCGAACGGGUGAGUAAUGCAUCGGAACGUGCCCAGAGGUGGGGGAUAACGCAGCGAAAGCUGUGCUAAUACCGCAUGUGAUCUGAGGAUGAAAGCGGGGGACCAAGCAGCAAUGUUUGGCCUCGCGCCUCUGGGGCGGCCGAUGUCAGAUUAGGUAGUUGGUGGGGUAAAGGCCUACCAAGCCGACGAUCUGUAGCUGGUCUGAGAGGACGACCAGCCACACUGGGACUGAGACACGGCCCAGACUCCUACGGGAGGCAGCAGUGGGGAAUUUUGGACAAUGGGCGCAAGCCUGAUCCAGCAAUGCCGCGUGCGGGAAGAAGGCCUUCGGGUUGUAAACCGCUUUUGUACGGAACGAAAAGGCUCUGGCUAAUACCUGGGGCUGAUGACGGUACCGUAAGAAUAAGCACCGGCUAACUACGUG